UACGUAGGCAGCGAGCGUUGUUCGGAGUUACUGGGCGUAAAGGGCGCGUAGGCGGCGGGUCAAGUCGAGUGUGAAAGCCCCGGGCUCAACCUGGGAAUUGCGCUCGAGACUGGUCUGCUUGAGUUCGGGAGAGGAGAGUGGAAUUCCCAGUGUAGAGGUGAAAUUCGUAGAUAUUGGGAAGAACACCGGUGGCGAAGGCGGCUCUCUGGACCGAGACUGACGCUGAGGCGCGAAAGCGUGGGGAGCAAACAGG
rnacentral:rRNA from 1 species